rnacentral:tRNA from 1 species
UGGGGCGUAGUUCAACUGGCAGAACGGCGGGUUCUGGCCCCGUAGGUUGGAGGUUCGAGUCCUCCCGCCCCAGCCA